CUGAAACACUUCAAAUUGUGUUUCUCAGUUAACAAGGACUCAGCAAAAGGGAAAGAAAUACUGAGUCAAGACCAGGAGACAAAUAUCAGAGGUAGAGAGAUAGACAGGGCAGCAGACUAGGCUGCAUAUACAUCCAGCGAGGGAUUUCCUGGAAAGCUAAGAUCCUCGCAUUGAAUAUGGAAGAGGGUGAUCGUUCAGUCGAUCAGUCUAUUGAGGCUGAGGUGCAAGGGGAUGCCCCAGCUGUACAAAAUGUCAGUGGUUCAGCAGCACCAGCCCCUGCAGUACUGCAGUUUCCUGCUCAGUUCGCUCAGCAGAUGGCUGCAAUAUUCCAACAAAUGGCUGGUAAUAUGCCUACUCAAGUCCCAAU